AAAAUACAUUUUAUUACCCAAUCUGCUCCCGACAUUAAAUAAAACUCCAAAAAUUAAAUUCUGGCCCUCAACCCCACAACAGGAUUUAAUUAACCUCGCCUUCAAGGUGUACAAUAAUAGAAAAAAGUUGCAAUUCCUUGCCUCCACUGUGAGACAAACCCCAGCCACAUCUCCAGCACACAAGAACUUCCAAACGCCUGAACCGCAGCGGCCACGCGUUCCUCCAGAACCUCCUCCCACAGGAGCUUGCUAUACGUGCUGGAAAUCUGGCCACUGGGCCAAGGAAUGCCCGCAGCCCAGGAUUCCUCCUAUUUAAAGCCUAUAAACUCUCCUUACAAUUCUCCCAUUUUACCUGUCCUAAAACCAGACAAGCCUUACAAGUUAGUUCAGGAUCUGCGCCUUAUCAACCAAAUUGUUUUGCCUAUCCACCCCGUGGUGCCAAACCCAUAUACUCUCCUAUCCUCAAUACCUGCCUCUACAACCCAUUAUUCUGUUCUAGAUCUCAGACAUGCUUUCUGAAGGUGUAAAUCACUCUAAAGGCUUUGGUGUAUGCAGUCCUGGAUUCAAAUCCUAUCUCUGAAAGCUUGCAGAAGUUCCAUAUGCCACCUUCUUCUGCUACUGCAGCAACAAGUGAUAUUCGAGACAGUGAAGCCCCCAUCAAUUCUAGACUGAUAUGGAGCAGAGACGACCUCCUAUACACACUCCCACUACUGACCCAUGGUGGACAAGAAACCAGAAAUUUCAUUAUGUUAAGCUUCUGAGAUAUUUCUGUUUUUUCCACUG
rnacentral:lncRNA from 1 species